rnacentral:rRNA from 1 species
AUUGAACGCUGGCGGCAUGCCUUACACAUGCAAGUCGAACGGCAGCACGGGUGCUUGCACCUGGUGGCGAGUGGCGAACGGGUGAGUAAUAUAUCGGAACGUGCCCUAGAGUGGGGGAUAACGUAGCGAAAGUUACGCUAAUACCGCAUACGAUCUACGGAUGAAAGUGGGGGAUCGCAAGACCUCAUGCUCAUGGAGCGGCCGAUAUCUGAUUAGCUAGUUGGUGGGGUAAAAGCCUACCAAGGCGACGAUCAGUAGCUGGUCUGAGAGGACGACCAGCCACACUGGGACUGAGACACGGCCCAGACUCCUACGGGAGGCAGCAGUGGGGAAUUUUGGACAAUGGGGGCAACCCUGAUCCAGCAAUGCCGCGUGUGUGAAGAAGGCCUUCGGGUUGUAAAGCACUUUUGUCAGGAACGAAACGGUGGAGGCUAAUACC